rnacentral:rRNA from 1 species
AGUGAACGCUGGCGGCAGGCCUAAUACAUGCAAGUCGAGCGACAACAUAGUAAGCGCUCUCUCCUGACGGUGGCGAGUGACGGACGGGUGAGGCAUACAUAGGCAUCUACUUUUUCGUGGGGGAUAACGUAGGGCCACAUCCACUAAUACCGCAUAUAUCCUACGGGUGAAAUCAGGAGAUCUUCGGACCUUGCGCGUCUCUAUGAGACGACGUCGGAUUAGCUAGUUGGCGAGGUAACGGCACACCAAGGCAACGAUCCGUAGCGGACCUGAGAGGAUGAUCAGCCACACUGGAACUGAGACACGGUCCAGACUCCUACGGGAGGCAGCAGUAGGGAAUAUUGGGCAAUGGGCGAAAGCCUGAUCCAGCAAUACCGCGUGAGUGAAGAAGGCCUUCGGGUUGUAAAGCCCUUUUGUUGGGGAAGAAAAAAAGCGGGUGAAUACACGGCUGUUCUGACGGUACCCAAAGAAUAAGCACCGGCUAACUUCGUG